GGUGGCUCAGCGGUAGAGUGUUUGCCUUGCUUGCAAGAGGCCCUGGGUUCGAUUCCUCAGCACCA
rfam:Dipodomys ordii contig_21663, whole genome shotgun sequence.